rnacentral:rRNA from 1 species
GAUGAACGCUGGCGGCGUGCUUAACACAUGCAAGUCGAACGGUGAAGGAGAGCUUGCUCUCCGGAUCAGUGGCGAACGGGUGAGUAACACGCGAGCAGUCUGCCCCUGACUCUGGGAUAAGCGCUGGAAACGGCGUCUAAUACCGGAUACGAGCUGCGAAGGCAUCUUCAGCAGCUGGAAAGAAUUUCGGUCAGGGAUGAGCUCGCGGCCUAUCAGCUUGGUGGUGAGGUAAUGGCUCACCAAGGCGUCGACGGGUAGCCGGCCUGAGAGGGUGACCGGCCACACUGGGACUGAGACACGGCCCAGACUCCUACGGGAGGCAGCAGUGGGGAAUAUUGCACAAUGGGCGAAAGCCUGAUGCAGCAACGCCGCGUGAGGGACGACGGCCUUCGGGUUGUAAACCUCUUUUAGCAGGGAAGAAGCGAAAGUGACGGUACCUGCAGAAAAAGCACCGGCUAACUACGUGCCAGCCGCCGCGGUAACAC